rnacentral:rRNA from 1 species
UGGGGAAUAUUGGACAAUGGGCGCAAGCCUGAUCCAGCAAUGCCGCGUGGGUGAAGAAGGCCUUCGGGUUGUAAAGCCCUUUUGUACGGGAAGCGGUACCGUAAGAAUAAGCACCGGCUAACUUCGUGCCAGCAGCCGCGGUAAUACGAAGGGUGCAAGCGUUAAUCGGAAUUACUGGGCGUAAAGCGUGCGUAGGUGGUUGGUUAAGUCUGUCGUGAAAGCCCUGGGCUCAACCUGGGAAUGGCGAUGGAUACUGGCCGACUAGAGUGCGGUAGAGGGUAGCGGAAUUUCCGGUGUAGCGGUGAAAUGCGUAGAGAUCGGAAGGAACAUCCGUGGCGAAGGCGGCUACCUGGACCAGCACUGACACUGAGGCACGAAAGCGUGGGGAGCAAACAGGAUUAGAUACCCGAGUAGU